rnacentral:lncRNA from 1 species
UAAUUAUAACACACUUCCCUGUAGGAAAUCUCACUGUCUCUUGGGCCUUUUCUGGUACUUCUGUUCUCUGAGGCAGAGUUCAGGGAGUCUUGGCUUUUGCUGAGGAUGUGGAGGUGGUUUGUAGAUGGUGCUUCAGGUUAAAAUUCCAGACUGGGUCCGUUUGCCUUGAAUGGCGGAGCAGCCUCAAGGUUGACCAGCAGACUUCCCUGCAGUCAGCACUCUGAUUGCCCAGUAGGAGGUGGUACUGCACCUUCCAGCCUUGCUCCAGUGCAAGUCAAAUGGGCAUUUCGAGGGUAUGUUCUGCUGGAAAGGGGGUCUAAAUAUAAUGGGCAUAGGAUGGAGGAUGUAGGGGAAGCUGAGAAAAAGAAAAUUGGCAUUAGACUGUCUGUGUUCCUGCCUGAGGACAGGUUUUGCUGAUGGUGUCCAAGCCAGAUAUCUUGGCUCCACGUCUUCUUACCUGAGUGACU